rnacentral:sRNA from 1 species
UUUUAUAAAUCAUUAAAAAAACUUUUAUUUUCUUUCCUCAGUUGUGACCUUCUAAAAAAUUAAAGACAGAUUCUGUUUAUGGUUAUAAACUUACGAUAUAUAAUUUUAUUUGUAAAUUGUAAUACACAACAAACAAUCUUAUUUGCAAUAUGCUGAAAUUAUGAUUAUUUUUUUGUAUCUACAGUUUUUUUAGUUAAACAAUUGUUUGAAAAGCAUACCU